rnacentral:rRNA from 1 species
GAUGAACGCUGGCGGCGUGCCUAAUACAUGCAAGUCGAGCGAACAGAUGAGGAGCUUGCUCCUCUGACGUUAGCGGCGGACGGGUGAGUAACACGUGGAUAACCUACCUAUAAGACUGGGAUAACUUCGGGAAACCGGAGCUAAUACCGGAUAAUAUAUUGAACCGCAUGGUUCAAUAGUGAAAGACGGUUUUGCUGUCACUUAUAGAUGGAUCCGCGCCGCAUUAGCUAGUUGGUAAGGUAACGGCUUACCAAGGCGACGAUGCGUAGCCGACCUGAGAGGGUGAUCGGCCACACUGGAACUGAGACACGGUCCAGAGGCCUACGGGAGGCAGCAGUAGGGAAUCUUCCGCAAUGGGCGAAAGCCUGACGGAGCAACGCCGCGUGAGUGAUGAAGGUCUUCGGAUCGUAAAACUCUGUUAUUAGGGAAGAACAAAUGUGUAAGUAACUAUGCACGUCUUGACGGUACCUAAUCAGAAAGCCACGGCUAACUACGUG